rnacentral:rRNA from 1 species
GACGAACGCUGGCGGCGUGCUUAACACAUGCAAGUCGAACGGAAAGGCCCUGCUUUUGUGGGGUGCUCGAGUGGCGAACGGGUGAGUAACACGUGAGUAACCUGCCCUUGACUUUGGGAUAACUUCAGGAAACUGGGGCUAAUACCGGAUAGGAGCUCCUGCUGCAUGGUGGGGGUUGGAAAGUUUCGGCGGUUGGGGAUGGACUCGCGGCUUAUCAGCUUGUUGGUGGGGUAGUGGCUUACCAAGGCUUUGACGGGUAGCCGGCCUGAGAGGGUGACCGGCCACAUUGGGACUGAGAUACGGCCCAGACUCCUACGGGAGGCAGCAGUGGGGAAUAGUGCACAAUGGGCGGAAGCCUGAUGCAGCAACGCCGCGUGCGGGAUGACGGCCUUCGGGUUGUAAACCGCUUUCGCCUGUGACGAAGCGUGAGUGACGGCAAUGGGUAAAGAAGCACCGGCUAACUACGUG